ACACAGAAAAUACAAUGAAGCAUUUAAAAAGAAAAUUAAACAUUAAAAGGUGGUAAAACAUUUAAAAAGAAAAACCUUAAAGAUUUAAUCGAAACAUUAAAUAUUGGGAAAGAAAAAGAAACUCAAACAAGCCGAUAAAGCAUUUAAAAAAACAAAUAACAUUAAAAAGACAAAACAUCUGGAAAUCAAAUCAGACAUUAGAAAAGAAUAAAAGGUGAGAAAAGAGCAAAACUAAACGUUUAAGAAGAAUCAAACUAAAGACAAAACAUUUCAAAAGACACCAGUUAGACUUUAGAAGAUCAAAUUAAACAGAAGAGACAAUAAAACGAUCAAAAAGAGCAAAAACAGAUAAAGGUCUGAAAGCGUUUUCUAGUCUGAAAUGAAAACAUCAAGUUGUUUCUUCAAACAUUUCCUCUUUCUAUGUUCUUAGUUUGAUUGUGGAAAGAUUUACUAAGAAUUCAUUUCAGAAAACUGCUUUCCAGAUAAAGUCUACUAGUAGUUGAAGGCAUUGAUCAAACUAAUGUUACCUUCUGAUCUCCACAAACUUUACUGUUCAGUGAAGAGAAUCAAAGUUUGUUGAGGAUUUCUAAAAAACCCGCAGGUAAAGGUCUGAGAAGAACUCAGAUGGAUGGUCUAAAUGUGAAAUCAAGACUCAUGGUCACAAGUUUUAAGGCUUCUGUUAACCAGAAAGUUCAAAUUAACAGAGAACUACAGAGAAACUUUUAAAAUUUCAGUCCUCAGACGUUCUGAAGGUUCAAACUAACAGAGAACUACUGAAGAACUUUUAGGUUUUCAGUCCUCAGACUGUCUGUCUCAAUCGUACGACGUAGUGUGUAACUGUAUGCAGCACAGUGAGCCAGCAUACUCGUUUCUGUUUUCACGCCGUCUACAUCAACGGAAUGCACUGAAACUUUUCCCCCACUAGCUUAGCCUCGCCGUAGCACGCAGCUCAAAGGGGCGUGUCCUAUCUACUCAUUCAUAUCUAUGAGAACAACGGUGGCUGCACAUAAGGACGCCUGACAUUGAUUAGCUGCGUAAAUACCAUUAUAUACAGUCUAUGGUAAAUACGUAUGUGAAUCGCAUCAUUGGCUGCAGCAGCCAGUCACCUGUCACUCACUGACUCACAUUGAAAAAUAGCACAGAAUGAAUUGUUACGUGUUUAUUUUAUUUACAAUUUAGGUUGGAUUUUUUUUUUUGUGCGCAGCGCAGAUUUUCUGUGCACGGAGACCGUGUCAGCAGUGCGCAAUUGCGCAUGCGCGCAGCUUAGAGGGAACAGUGCUGGAGAGUGUUUGUGAUGCUGAAGCAGUGAUCAGUUUUUCUGUUUCUUCUCUGGAGAUGCACAAUGAGGGACGUCUGCAGAGACUGAGAAAGAAUCUCACCACAUCCUGACAUGAGGAAAAAGACUUUAUUGAAGACUACAAUGAGAAAAACUAUCAGACAGCAGACGGCUGCAUUCAAGGUGAGCUCUGAACAUUUGAUCUGGAACAGGAAUUCAAUAACGGCAGCAUGAGUUUCAUUUCAGCCUGUAGCUGCUGAAUUCAUGGAUGAAUCAUCUGGCACUAGAGAGGAAGACCAUCAAACAUCCACGUCAGCUGAUGGAGGUCCAAGAGUCUCACCAAAGAAACAACCUGCAGAGUGAAGACCUCGAAUCUGAUUGGACGGCCUCCUAUUCAGCCACAUGUGUGAACAAAUGCCUCUAAGCUGAUUUGUUUUCUAAAAUAAAUCUAGUUUGAGUCCUAAUCUAUGCCUGUGUGUUUGCUUCUUUACACCGCUGUUAACAGUUUAGGCUGUUAGAUUGUUCCAGAUAAGACAAGUACAAGAUACUUCAGAGCCGUUCUACCAUGAGCCUGACAGGAAGAACUCCAACAGCUACUGAAUGUUCCUGUGGUUCCCUCAAGGCUACAGGAGGAGCCCUACGAGGAUGAGCCUGUCCACCUGAUGGCAGCCAGUCGCUGCGGUUCAAAGGCAACACCGACUACGUGGACUUCUACUGGACCACACGGAGGCCUUCAAACCGGACCAACAAGUUCAGCGACUCCCCGACUCGUGGGUCUGAGGACGCUGCCGAGCCUCGGUCCAGCCGGCCUCCUGUCUGUGGGUGUUUGAGUGCUGAGAGAUGUUCAGAGGGAGAUGAUGCCACAUCUGGUCCAGCUGAUGGAAGGUCUUGAAGUUCUCUGACUGGCCUCGACUGAAGAUGGUCGUCUCACUGGAUUUAAGGUUCAGAUGUUCAGUAACAAACUCCACCAAUGUGCCAACGGGGAAGCUUUAGGUUUAUUAAAUGUUGCUAUGAAGGUAUCACUGUUUUUCUUUGUGAAUGCAAUGUGCUCCAACUGAAACUUGGAUUAGAACUUAGAAGUAAAUCCUUCCAUCUGAAAGGAUUUAGUUGCAUUAAUAACCUCACAACAUUCUAAUUUUUAUUCCAGUCUUGGUUGGAAAUAGAAUCUCUGUAUUGAUUCAGGUAAAAACUGAACUUCACAGCAUGUUGGAGCAAAACAACCAGAUGAAAACUGUGAUGGUGUUGGAUUGUCAGACCGUAAUGUUGCAGCUCAAAGCAGCUUUUCUAGCUCAGUUCAUUCUGACAUUCAGCUAUGAAUCAACACAGCAGAUGGUGAUCCAUGCUGUGGAAGUCUCACAUCUCCUGAUUUAAUGGAGCUGCUUUGCACUUUUUACAUUGUUUAUUCACCAACACUUUAUUUAAUGAAAGUCCCAUCUAGUUUUUAUGAGGAAUGUGAUGUUUUAAUUUCUCUGUGAAUAACUGCAGUCUAAUGCAACAGCUGGAGUUGUAACAUCUGUCCUGAUAUUGAUCAUCAAGUAUUGAUCAGAAUACUUAUGGUCAGCAGUCAUCCCUGAAGUUUUACAUUAAAAUCUUUACUUGUGUUGUGAACUUUGGUAAGAAGCAGAAAUGUUGGCGUUGCCAUGGAUACAUGAGUGUUAAAUUCUGUCCAUGUUUCCAUUUUGGGAAAUGCAGUCCAGUUCCAGAAUGUGGAGGAAUUUAGUCUCACAAUCACAGACAACAAAUAUUAUCUGAAAAUCGGGUUAUUGUUGUUUAUCAGCACAAUACAAAAAGAUUAAUGUUAGAAAUAUUCCAGUUAAGACUCUAGAAUAUCAUGAUUUAUGUAAAUUUACCUCAAUAAUAUGAAUGUUCAGGUUAAGAUUGUGCAGUGAUAUUUAUUAUGUAAGUUUAGCUGAUUAAAGUUUAUGACUCUGCACUAAAAUAUAAUUUAAAUUGACAUAAUUAUUAUAAUAUUUAGGGUCAGACCCUACAGUACUGAGAUUAAGAAAUCAAAUAUUCUAUAAAAUGUAAAUACACUGAACUCAUUUGGAUAUAUUUAAGUGAGACUCUACAAUAUUAUUUGACACAAAUCUAUCUAAAUCAAAACUUUGAUCAUUUUUACUCCAAACAUUUACUGGACUGAUUUAAAUAUUAAAAUCACUCCUUUCUAAUCCUCUGCUGUACGUUCAAACCUGAGGCCUUAAAUAGAAACACACAAGUAUCUGAUUGAAGGAACUUCUGCAGAGUCCUGGUUCCAGAACAUGAUGAUAGAAUUAUAGACAAACUUUAACAAAAGCUGCCUGAGAGUUUACAGGUUUUUAUCUUAGAUUUCUUCAGUAAUUUAAUGAGAGUUAUUAGCAAAAAUCAAGUGUUCAUUUGAUGAACUUCAUUUCCUAAAACAUCCAGAAUUUGACCUCAUAUCUUUGGCAGCUGUAAAGUUUCUGCUCCUUCAAAGUUCACAACACAAUGAAUGAAUUCCUAAAACACUCUCAAUGCUGGAGAGUGUUUGUGAUGCUGAAGCAGUGAUCAGUUUUUCUGUUUCUUCUCUGGAGAUGCACAAUGAGGGACGUCUGCAUAGACUGAGAAAGAGUCUCACCACAUCCUGACAUGAGGAAAAAGACUUUAUUGAAGACUACAAUGAGAAAAACUAUCAGACAGCAGACGGCUGCAUUCAAGUCUGUAGCUGCUGAAUUCAUGGAUGAAUCAUCUGGCACUAGAGAGGAAGACCAUCAAACAUCCACGUCAGCUGAUGGAGGUCCAAGAGUCUCACCGAACAACCAACCUACAGAGUGAAGACCUCGAAUCUGAUUGGACGGCCUCCUAUUCAGCCACAUGUGUGAACAAAUGCCUCUAAGCUGAUUUGUUUUCUAAAAUAAAUCUAGUUUCAGUCCUAA